GACGAACGCUGGCGGCGUGCUUAACACAUGCAAGUCGAGCGGUAAGGCCCUUUCGGGGGUACACGAGCGGCGAACGGGUGAGUAACACGUGGGUGACCUGCCCUCAGCUCUGGGAUAAGCCCGGGAAACUGGGUCUAAUACCGGAUAUGACUCCAUGACGCAUGUUGUGGAGUGGAAAGCCUUGUGCGGCUGAGGAUGGGCCCGCGGCCUAUCAGCUUGUUGGUGGGGUGANGGCCUACCAAGGCGACGACGGGUAGCCGGCCUGAGAGGGCGACCGGCCACACUGGGACUGAGAUACGGCCCAGACUCCUACGGGAGGCAGCAGUGGGGAAUCUUGCGCAAUGGGCGAAAGCCUGACGCAGCGACGCCGCGUGAGGGAUGACGGCCUCGG
rnacentral:rRNA from 1 species